GUGAGGAAUAUUGCGCAAUGGAGGCAACUCUGACGCAGCCAUGCCGCGUGCAGGAAGAAGGCGCUACGCGUUGUAAACUGCUUUUAACCGGGAAGAAACCCCAGGACGUGUCCUGGGUUGACGGUACCGGAGGAAUAAGCACCGGCUAACUUCGUGCCAGCAGCCGCGGAAUACGAAGGGUGCAAGCGUUAUCCGGAUUCAUUGGGUUUAAAGGGUGCGUAGGCGGAGCGUUAAGUCAGUGGUGAAAUCCUGCAGCUUAACUGUAGACUUGCCAUUGAUACUGGCGCUCUUGAGUGCGCUUGAAGUGGGCGGAAUGUGCCGUGUAGCGGUGAAAUGCUUAGAUAUGGCACAGAACACCAAUUGCGAAGGCAGCUCACUAAGGCGAUACUGACGCUGAGGCACGAAAGCGUGGGGAUCGAACAGGAUUAGAAACCCGGGUAGUCC
rnacentral:rRNA from 1 species